rnacentral:lncRNA from 1 species
UAUGUGCUAUGUUUACUUGCUUGCAAAACACUUAGAUGCGCUUCUUUCCUAUUCGGGGCCUCGACCCCCAGAUCGGAAAGGACCGCAUCUUGGUCGUUACAAGUUGGUAAUCAGAGCCUUACGACCAUAGGAGCCUUUGUGUGAUCGUAUUUGGCCGAGUCGAGUCUAGUAAAUGUUUUGAGUCUUAGUUAUAUCGGAGAGUAGGUUUCAUUUUUCUCCUCUUCUUUGCUCUGGUGAGGCUUCCGUCUUAGGAAAUCUUUAACUCUAC